rnacentral:rRNA from 1 species
UACGUAGGGGGCAAGCGUUGUCCGGAAUCAUUGGGCGUAAAGAGCGUGUAGGCGGUCCGGUCAGUCCGCUGUGAAAGUCCAGGGCUCAACCCUGGGAUGCCGGUGGAUACUGCCGAACUCGAGUCCGGAAGAGGCGAGUGGAAUUCCUGGUGUAGCGGUGAAAUGCGCAGAUAUCAGGAGGAACACCGAUGGCGAAGGCAGCUCGCUGGGACGGUACUGACGCUGAGACGCGAAAGCGUGGGGAG